rnacentral:lncRNA from 1 species
UCCACUUUCUCGGCUCCCUCUACCACAGGCCCACACCCCCACAUGUGAGACUGAGGGGCAACUCUUGCCUUGGGUGAGCUCCUGCUUUCCUGACUACUCUGGCACCCACUGUUCCCAUGCGGUAACAGGGCUUGCCCAGUGCAGCAAAUAGAGCCGUUAACUGCCAUGAAGGCGCGAAGGGCAGCAUCUCCCAGGAUCUGCGACAUCCUUCCUUCAUACUGGAGUUGAGUCCUAUAAAUUAGACUCUCUGAUAAUAUUGGACUUCCUUGUUUCCUGAAAUUCUGCAGCCUUUGGUGCUAGCAGGACUUCGAUAAAGGACCAGCCUUCCCAAUAUGAUUUCAUAAGAUUCAGAGCGAUCCCUUGUUUAUCUGUGGAAGCGCCAGGCACAGACCCUCCCUUCCAGUUCUCUCUCUGGUCUUUGCCCAGAGUGUGACCCUGUCAUCUCAGAUGCCAUGUGCCACAGCACCGGGAAGAGAACGGGGCUGAAUGUUAACAAGAAAGUGGAAGGAAGCUCUGUCUGAAGAGAAACAGGAGGCCAGCACCAGCUGCACACCUGGGAUCCCAGCCCUCGGGGAGCUGGAGGGACAAGCAGAUGUGACAUUCAAGGUCAGCUUGGACUACCUGAGAUAAUUUAGCUCAUAAACAAAACCACGCAAACAAAAGAAAGCCACGUGGAGGCAGGAGGCUCCCCUAAGAAGCAGGAUUUAUGCAUAUCUCCUGCUCUGCUUGGCCUGGGAGCUUUCCCCACUUUGCCUACAGGCAUCCAGAUAAUGAGUUUGUGUUCCUUGUGUUAAGAGGCACAUCAGCUCCCUAUCAGACUGGCCUUCCCGGUGCUCUACUGAGCACAGAAGCACUUAUUGUUAUCUCUCACCAAUCUUGUACCCCUUGUAGACUUGCCAUUCCUUUCCAACUUCAAUAAGUUUCUCCUUAAAUAACCUUGUCUAAUUAAGUUCUCCUCCCCAACACCCCGCAUAAGUCCCAAUCUGUC